AUUGAACGCUGGCGGCAGGCCUAACACAUGCAAGUCGAGCGAGCGGCGGACGGGUGAGUAAUGUCUGGGAAACUGCCUGAUGGAGGGGGAUAACUACUGGAACCGGUAGCUAAUACCGCAUACUAUCAGAUGUGCCCAUAUGGGAUUAGCUAGUAGGUGGGUUAAUGGCUCACCUAGGCGACGAUCCCUAGCUGGUCUGAGAGGAUGACCAGCCACACUGGAACUGAGACACGGUCCAGACUCCUACGGGAGGCAGCAGUGGGGAAUAUUGCACAAUGGGCGCAAGCCUGAUGCAGCCAUGCCGCGUGUAUGAAGAAGGCCUUCGGGUUGUAAAGUACUUUCAGCGAGGAGGCGUUACUCGCAGAAGAAGCACCGGCUAACUCCGUGCCAGCAGCCGCGGUAAUUC
rnacentral:rRNA from 1 species